UACGGAGGGUGCAAGCGUUGUUCGGAUUUACUGGGCGUAAAGCGCGCGCAGGCGGGUGAACAAGUCGGAAGUGAAAUCUUGAGGCUCAACCUCGAGGCUGCUCCCGAAACUGUUCGCCUAGGGACUGGUAGAGGCUGGUAGAAUUCCCGGUGUAGCGGUGGAAUGCGUAGAGAUCGGGAAGAAUACCUGUGGCGAAGGCGAAUCCCUGGAAAAUACCUGACACUGAGGCACGAAAGCUAGGGGAGCAAACAGG
rnacentral:rRNA from 1 species